UACGUAGGUGGCAAGCGUUGUCCGGAUUUACUGGGCGUAAAGGGCGUGCAGGCGGUUUGUUAAGUGCAGCGUGAAAGCUCCCGGCUCAACUGGGAGAGGUCUUUGCAUACUGGCAAACUUGAGGGAGGCAGAGGAAAGUGGAAUUCCCGGUGUAGUGGUGAUAUGCGUAGAUAUCGGGAGGAACACCUGUGGCGAAGGCGGCUUUCUGGGCCUUACCUGACGCUGAGACGCGAAAGCGUGGGGAGAGAACCGG
rnacentral:rRNA from 1 species